CCCACAACUCCUAGGAAAGCCUUGCCAAAUAGGUGUUUCUUUAGGUUCACGGUACAGAGGAAGGGUCAAACUACCACCAGGGUCAUAAAACUACACCUGGAUAUGCCCACAACUCCUAGGAAAGCCUUGUCAAAUAGGUGUUUCUUUAGGUUCACGGUACAGAGGAAGGGUCACACUACCACCAGGGUCAUAAAACUACUCCUGGAAAUGCCCACAACUCCUAGGAAAGCCUUGUCAAAUAGGUGUUUCUUUAGGUUCACGGUACAGAGGAAGGGUCACACUACCACCGGGGUCAUAAAACUACUCUUGGAAAUGCCCACAACUCCUAGGAAAGCCUUGUCAAAUAGGUGUUUCUUUAGGUUCACGGUACAGAGGAAGGGUCACACUACCACCAGGGUCAUAAAACUACUCCUGGAAAUGCCCACAACUCCUAGGAAAGCCUUGUCAAAUAGGUGUUUCUUUAGGUUCACGGUACAGAGGAAGGGUCACACUACCACCAGGGUCAUAAAACUACUCCUGGAAAUGCCCACAACUCCUAGAAAAGCCUUGUCAAAUAGGUGUUUCUUUAGGUUCACAGUACAGAGGAAGGGUCACACUACCACCGGGGUCAUAAA